UACGUAGGGGGCUAGCGUUGUCCGGAAUCACUGGGCGUAAAGGGCGCGUAGGCGGCUUGAUAAGCGUGCGGUGAAAGCCCGGGGCUCAACCCCGGGUCGGCCGUGCGAACUGUCGAGCUGGAGCACUGUAGAGGCAGGUGGAAUUCCGGGUGUAGCGGUGGAAUGCGUAGAGAUCCGGAAGAACACCGGUGGCGAAGGCGGCCUGCUGGGCAGUGGCUGACGCUGAGGCGCGACAGCGUGGGGAGCAAACAGG
rnacentral:rRNA from 1 species